CAAGGUUUUAUCUUUGGCGGCUGAAUUUUCUUCUUUUUUCUUCCUCAAUUGACCAACUGAAUCCCCUUAAAUUGUCUCCAGAUUGUUCCCCCACUUCCUCAAUUUUCUUAAUUGAUGGCACCAGUAAUGUGUUACUGAGUAUCAUUGACUUGUCAUUCAGUGCUUGGUGCCAAUAUGUGAGAUAUGAAGUUUAUUUCCAUUUCCAACAAUAAGAUUUUCCUUACCACCAUACUCACGUGCUUCAGUCAGACUUCCUUUCUUAGUAGCGACGUGAUUGUUUGCUCCUAAAUCUGCAUACCAGGCUAGGUCUGUAACAAUACUUGGGGAAGCUACAAAGGUAGCUGGUCUAGAGAUUGUUUUGAUACUUUUGGUCAAGUUUUGUACCCAUGUACCUGAUUGAAGCACCUCUCGACUGAGUGAUUUCCCACUUCACAUAUUUGACAUGACCCUUUUCUACUAGGUUGCUUGCCUCCUAUUCCUCUGCUUCUUCCUCCUCUGUAGUUACUAUUUCUUCCACCAAAGUUAGACCUACCUCAUCUGUUCAUGUUUGGCUUGUGAAAAAAGUUUACUGCGACUUAAGUUUACUGAGGCCAUGCUGUUUUUCACAGCAUUAAGAUGUUCAAUCCUGCUUUUAUAUGUCAUAAGUGUAGAUUACAACUCAUGCCAGGAGAUGAACUCUACUGUUGAUCUGGACCACAAUAGGAGUGUAAUCCUCAUCCAAG
rnacentral:lncRNA from 1 species